AUUUUGUUAUUUAUAUGAUAAUUUUUAUUGAAAUAUUUUAUUUUAUUAUUUUAUUUUCUAUUUUAAAGUUUUCAAAAAUUAAUUUUAUAAUUUACGGAAUAUAAUUCGUACAAAAUAGUUGUUCACUAAUUAUAAACAGCGAUCUGGCCAUUUAACUUUCACACUCCAAAUCUCUUUCCUAAAUGGCAACCUGAAACCCAAAUGCAUUCCGGCCAAAUCUCAAUAAUACAGACAUCUAAAACAAAAAUAAAAAACCUGAAGCCUGAAGAGCGGGUUUAGAGAGAGUAAUUUCGCUUUCUUUCUCUCCUAUCUGACAACGUAACAUGCAACAACAGCUAGAAACCUGAAGCAGGCACAGCUGUCAAAGGCCAAGGCAACACCUAUUAUCAGAGAGAGUUAUUACCAAAGAAAAGCCUAAGGACGGAAUUCCUCAAGUUGAGUGGUGGUAAGUUAAUAUAUAUCACAGUGCAUUUUGUACUAUUCAAGUUGUCUUGUGCUAUUGGAUUUUUGGUUUAUAAAAACUCUGAUCUUUCUAGAACAAAAUUUAUUAUGUUUUCUUUAUCACUAUCUUCAACUUUUCAAGGCAACAUAUAUUUAGAGAGUUAUUCCAUGGGGAAAAAAAAGCGAAAAAGAAUGGCAAAAUAUUUGAGUA